rfam:Chaetomium globosum CBS 148.51 scaffold_2 genomic scaffold, whole genome shotgun sequence.
AGCACCAUAGCUCAGGGGAAGAGCGCCGGGCUCAUAACCCGGAGGUCGCUCGAUCGAAACGAGCUGGUGCUA